GAGGGAAAGUUGAAAAGAACUUUGAAGGGAGAGUUCAACAGUACGUGAAACCGCAUAGAGGUAAACGGGUGGACCCGCAGCAGUUCGGCCCGGGGAAUUCAGCCCAGCGGCCACGGUGCCGCGCUUGGCAUUCAAGGGGGAUACCCAGUUACCCCGCCAGGCGUUGCGCGCCGGUCGCGGGGUGCACUUUCUCCGGGCGGAGAGCCACGACCGGCUCCCGCGGCGGUCACAAGCCCGGUCGGGAAGGUGACUUGAGUCUGGGCUCGCCCGGUGCUCGAGAGUUACAGCCCGCCGUGGUGGACACGCCGCGGAGCCGAGGAUGCCGCAGCUUGCCUCGGUCCCGGGUGCCCCUCGUCCGUCUCGACCUCCGUUGCAUUGCUCGCAGUGCGCGGUAACUGCGGCGCGGGGGCAUUUCGCCCGGAUCACCAGGUUCGCGAAGGGUCGGUGGCGAAUCGGUCGGUGCUCCACCCGACCCGUCUUGAAACACGGACCAAGGAGUCUAACAUGUGCGCGAGUCACGGGGACUCUCAGACGAAACCCAAAGGCGCAACGAAAGUGAGGGGGGCCUCCGGCCCGUCCCAGGCAGGAUCCCGUCCCGCUCGCGGGGCGGGCGCACUGCCGGCCCGUCUCGACGGCAUUGUUCGCGAGGCGGAGCAAGAGCGCACACGUUGGGACCCCA
rnacentral:rRNA from 1 species